rnacentral:rRNA from 1 species
GGUAAACGGCGGCCGUAACUAUAACGGUCCUAAGGUAGCGAAAUUCCUUGUCGGGUAAGUUCCGACCUGCACGAAUGGCGUAAUGAUGGCCAGGCUGUCUCCACCCGAGACUCAGUGAAAUUGAACUCGCUGUGAAGAUGCAGUGUACCCGCGGCAAGACGGAAAGACCCCGUGAACCUUUACUAUAGCUUGACACUGAACAUUGAGCCUUGAUGUGUAGGAUAGGUGGGAGGCUUUGAAGCGUGGACGCCAGUCUGCGUGGAGCCAACCUUGAAAUACCACCCUUUAAUGUUUGAUGUUCUAACGUUGGCCCCUUACCGGGGUUGCGGACAGUGUCUGGUGGGUAGUUUGACUGGGGCGGUCUCCUCCCAAAGCGUAACGGAGGAGCACGAAGGUUAGCUAAUCCUGGUCGGACAUCAGGAGGUUAGUGCAAUGGCAUAAGCUAGCUUGACUGCGAGCGUGACGGCGCGAGCAGGUGCGAAAGCAGGUCAUAGUGAUCCGGUGGUUCUGAAUGGAAGGGCCAUCGCUCAACGGAUAAAAGGUACUCCGGGGAUAACAGGCUGAUACCGCCCAAGAGUUCAUAUCGACGGCGGUGUUUGGCACCUCGAUGUCGGCUCAUCACAUCCUGGGGCUGAAGUAGGUCCCAAGGGUAUGGCUGUUCGCCAUUUAAAGUGGUACGCGAGCUGGGUUUAGAACGUCGUGAGACAGUUCGGUCCCUAUCUGCCGUGGGCGCUGGAGAAUUGAGGGGGGCUGCUCCUAGUACGAGAGGACCGGAGUGGACGCAUCACUGGUGUUCGGGUUGUCAUGCCAAUGGCACUGCCCGGUAGCUAAAUGCGGAAGAGAUAAGUGCUGAAAGCAUCUAAGCACGAAACUUGCCCCGAGAUGAGUUCUCCCUGAGACUAUAAGUCUCCUGAAGGAACGUUAAAGACGAUGACGUUGAUAGGCCGGGUGUGUAAGCGCAGCGAUGCGUUGAGCUAACCGGUACUAAUGAACCGUGAGGCUUAACCUU